ACGAACGCUGGCGGCGUGCUUAACACAUGCGAGUCGAGCGGUAAGGCCCUUUCGGGGGUACACGAGCGGCGAACGGGUGAGUAACACGUGGGUGACCUGCCCUCAGCUCUGGGAUAAGCCUGGGAAACUGGGUCUAAUACUGGAUAUGACUCCACGGUGCAUGUCGUGGGGUGGAAAGCCUUGUGCGGCUGAGGAUGGGCCCGCGGCCUAUCAGCUUGUUGGUGGGGNGAUGGCCUACCAAGGCGACGACGGGUAGCCGGCCUGAGAGGGCGACCGGCCACACUGGGACUGAGACACGGCCCAGACUCCUACGGGAGGCAGCAGUGGGGAAUCUUGCGCAAUGGGCGAAAGCCUGACGCAGCGACGCCGCGUGAGGGAUGACGGCCUGGUGUAACG
rnacentral:rRNA from 1 species